UACGUAGGGCGCAAGCGUUGUCCGGAAUUAUUGGGCGUAAAGAGCUCGUAGGCGGCUUGUCACGUCGGGUGUGAAAGCCCGGGGCUUAACCCCGGGUCUGCAUUCGAUACGGGCUAGCUAGAGUGUGGUAGGGGAGAUCGGAAUUCCUGGUGUAGCGGUGAAAUGCGCAGAUAUCAGGAGGAACACCCGUGGCGAAGGCGGCUCUCUGGGACGGUACUGACGCUGAGACGCGAAAGCGUGGGGAGCAAACAGG
rnacentral:rRNA from 1 species